GAUGAACGCUGGCGGCGUGCCUAAUACAUGCAAGUCGAGCGAACAGACGAGGAGCUUGCUCCUCUGACGUUAGCGGCUGACGGGUGAGUAACACGUGGAUAACCUACCUAUAAGACUGGGAUAACUUCGUGAAACCGGAGCUAAUACCGGAUAAUAUAUUGAACCGCAUGGUUCAAUAGUGUAAGACGGUUUUGCUGUCACUUAUAGAUGGAUCCGCGCCGCAUUAGCUAGUUGGUAAGGUAACGGCUUACCAAGGCAACGAUGCGUAGCCGACCUGAGAGGGUGAUCGGCCACACUGGAACUGAGACACGGUCCAGACUCCUACGGGAGGCAGCAGUAGGGAAUCUUCCGCAAUGGGCGAAAGCCUGACGGAGCAACGCCGCGUGAGUGAUGAAGGUCUUCGGAUCGUAAAACUCUGUUAUUAGGGAAGAACAAAUGUGUAAGUAACUAUGCACGUCUUGACGGUACCUAAUCAGAAAGCCACGGCUAACUACGUG
rnacentral:rRNA from 1 species